AUUUAAUGGUUUGGGAAUUGCAUGAUUUUAUCAUUGAAAAUUUGCCAUACUACAUAUAAGAGCUCACCACUAAGUUGACAAAAAAUUAUGAUUUUGUUUCUUAGUU
rfam:Capsicum annuum cultivar Zunla-1 chromosome 12, whole genome shotgun sequence